rnacentral:rRNA from 1 species
GCACAAGCGGUGGAUGAUGUGGUUUAAUUCGAUGCAACGCGAAAACCUUACCCACCUUUGACAUGUACGGAAGCCUUUAGAGAUAGAGGCGUGCUCGAAAGAGAGCCGUAACACAGGUGCUGCAUGGCUGUCGUCAGCUCGUGUCGUGAGAUGUUGGGUUAAGUCCCGCAACGAGCGCAACCCUUGUCAUUAGUUGCUACAUUCAGUUGGGCACUCUAAUGAGACUGCCGGUGACAAGCCGGAGGAAGGUGGGGAUGACGUCAAGUCCUCAUGGCCCUUAUAGGUGGGGCUACACACGUCAUACAAUGGCUGGUACAAAGGGUUGCCAACCCGCGAGGGGGAGCUAAUCCCACAAAGCCGAUCGUAGUCCGGAUCGCAGUCUGCAACUCGACUGCGUGAAGUCGGAAUCGCUAGUAAUCGUGGAUCAGCAUGUCACGGUGAAUACGUUCCCGGGUCUU